AGAGUGGUCAGAUGGAUGAUAAGAAAACGCUUUUCAUCACACGGUGGUCAAACCCUGGAACAGGCUGCUGGAGGCAAAGGUCAUAGCCCUUAGCUGCCAGAGUUCAAGGAGUGUUUGGACAAUGCUCUCAGACCCUGUGUUUGGAGUAGUCCUGUGUGGGACCCGGAAUGGCUCCCUUCCUACUUAAGGUACUCUAUUAUUCUCUGACCCUGAGUGUAAAAUAACAUCUGUCUUCUAAUUCAGAGCGAUCCUUUUCAGUGGUAAAGCACUGGAUUUGACAGUGUGCAUCAUCAAGCUUGGAGCGUCCCUAGGCAGCCUGCCUGUGACUUCAGUGCCAUCUGGAUUUCUUGUAGAAGAUAAGAAAGAGCAGUGUUGAAGCUAAAGAAAACAGGAAGAUCCCAUGAAGAGAAUAUAAAAAGCAACUGGAUUAAACUGCUUAUUACAAAGCAAGCACAAAUAUUUUAAAACUAAUCCUUGACUAUGUCAUCUCUGAAAGCUUCAAAGACUAGUUGUUUGUUUUUUCUUUUUCUGAACCUUGUCACCAUGAAAGAAGAUUGAUUUGCUACCUGCUCAGAUGAAUAAUUGUUGAUGACAAUACAUUUAAAUUUAACAGCUUUAAAUGCAACAAAUUUCAAAAAGGAACGCAUUUUUUUUAAAUUGUUGUGCAUAAAGAAAGAAAUCUUUCUUUAAGUACUUAUUAGCAGAAAUUACUUUUCAAAUAAUCUUCAUUUAAUAGUAUAUGGAUUUUUUUGUAAGUUCCAAAGUGUGUGUGGCACAAUUCUGUUCUCAUCCCACUUUACUUGCUGAGCAAAUCUGUUUUGGUUUAUGUCAGCCACUGUUCAUCAAGCACUCUCCUUUUUCAAUACAUCUCAAAUGAGAUAAAAAUGUGUCUAGUGUUGUUGACAUCAGACCCCUGAAACCAGCUGCAGAGUUGCUAUUGUUUGGUUUCAAUGCUCCCUAAAAUGAAUUUCCUUUCUGUUGAAUCCAAGGGAUAUGGUGAGUGACAGGCCUUCUCUUUUUUUUAAUCACACAGAUCUGGCUGUUCCUCUAGAUGCCCUGAUAAGCAGCGCAUAUGUGUGUGAAAGGAAGGGAAACAGGAAUUCCUUUCGGAAGGGUGACAGCUUUAGUAAGACUAAAGUGAGUUCAAGGCAGAUGUUCCUGGCAGAAGUCAACUGAAAACUCACAUCCUAAAUUUGCACAGCUGCCAGCAAAGAAACAUACAUUUAUCUUGGCUCUUUUUUAAAACAUCGAUCUUGUUAAAAAAAAAAGAAAAAAGAAAAAAAGAAAAAAAAUCAAUCAAAAGCUGUAUAAAGAGCUAGCUUUGCAGCAAGUAUAUAGAAUGCUGACAUGUUGCAGCAUGAAAAAAAUGUGAUGAUUUAAUUCCCAGAAAAUUUCAGCCCAGAAGUAAUGUUAAUAUUCCUUGGUUUAAUAUAUGAAUGUUUCAGUCUUUUGGGGUACUUCAAGGGUAAAACAUUGCAUUUAAUUAAGCAUUUGUUGGUAUUGUAAUCAAAGUGGUGGAAAUGACGCAAAGAUCUUUCCUCUCAGAGAACAAGAAGUGAAACUGUGUCUGAUGCUAUGUCUAUAACAUGAAUUUGAACCUUUCUUUCUUUCAGACAUCCAGGAAAUAUGUUACAGACUCCACUGAUGCUCCUGGCCUCCUAACAAGUACACUAUUCUUGGUAUCUCCAUGAAUCUAUGUCUGCCACAAAGCUUGUGAAUGCCUUCUCUGAAGCAUGGAAUUACCUGCAGUGGUGUCCUGGGAAUUUCUAGAACAGGCAUCUAAUCUUGGCUAUGGAAGAUGAAUAAGGAAAAAGCAAUUCCAACAUGCUGAGACUGCUACAAAUGUCCAAGUGACCUAAAUUUUAUAGGUCAGUAAUGGUGAUGCGUAUUAACAAUUAAAAUGUCCUAUCCACCCAUUACAUGCCAGCCACUCUUUCUGUGAGAGCUGCUCCAAAAGUAGUGCCUUGGUGAUAUGGCAGUAGAAAAUGAAUCUUCCCAGAGUAUUCCAUUCCAUGUUUUUGCUGUGUGACAGAUGGCAGCAGAAAGGCACUCCGACAGUGUGGCAUCUGACAUGGAAACGCAUAUGAAACUGUCACUAUGUGACACUGAAUUCCUCUAUGGCCCCAGUUGAUAUUAACUGACACUUGCUGAUGUUUAUGGAGCCCAAGCAGUGGAUGUGAUCACAAUGGCUGGUGUGUUUCAGCAGCAAUGACAGUGAGAGUGGAUCACCUCUGCUGGUGCAGAUUUUUGUGAACAUGGCAUAAAGUCUCCAGUUCAUCACUGGCAAAAAUGCACGACUAAUAUUGGUGACUGUGUUGAAAAAGAGUGUUUGUAGCAGAGAAUUUAGUCUAUCGAAUAGUGUUAUUUGCUUUUUGUAUCUGUUGUACUGUCCAUGAAAAUAAAUAGGAGGCAUUACUUUCGGAUGACCUGUGAAUUAAUCAUUUAGUAUAGCUUUAGUAUGUUUUGGCAGUUUUGCUCUCUCAGGGCCUGGAAAAUGACUGAGCAAGGUCUAUGUAGCAGGGCAGACAUUGGGGCACUGACGGUACUUGUUUGUAUGCAUAACCUUUCUUUUCAGAUACAAUAACAACCUGCUUGGGUUGUGCACUUAUUUCCAAAACGUGGUGAAUUCCAGAUCUAAGCUCCCCUAUAUGUCCACUUUCUUAAACAAAACAACAAAGACUUCUGUGAUGUUACAGCUGUGCUAUGCACUGAUGUUUAUGGAACUUUCUUGUUUUGUAGACUUUAUAAUGUUGACGGAAAUUUGUUAGUUGUUUUUGGAAUCUACUAAAUUCAUGACAGGUGGGACUUGAAGCAUUUCAUGGCAAGCUGAUAAAAUUCAUAGUGUGGCCAUUAGCUUGUUCCUCUAGCUUCUUCCUACACAGCAGCUGCUGCACUUGCAAUAUGCAAGACUGGCUCAAGUAGUCUGCAGUAAAGGCUGUGACUGGCAGCUUGUGUUACCUUGCUACCUAAUAUUUGCCUCUGUACCAGCUGAUACUUGCCUAAGUCAAUCUGUGGCAAUGCCACUGAUCUGUGGAAAUUAGAUAUUUACAGAGUGGUUAUUUCCACAGACUUACCCGGUGGAAUGCACAUAUGCUGAGUCUGCCUGGACACAUCCGUAUCUGAAUGCACUCAGGACUGAGUAUUUCCAGGCAGAAUAAAAGCCGAAAAUCCUCAGAAAAUUCAUUUCUUUUGCAUCCUUAUAAAUCACACAGAUAUAAUAAUGACCAGUCUUCAUUAAUUGCUUUGAAGUGCUUGGAUGCUGGGGAUGACUUCAGGAAAAAUAUUUAUAAUGGGAGAUAAUUCCUUUAUGGUAGUUACUAGAAAGGAUAAGGAGGUUCUUCCUUCAUAGACCUUACAAUCUCAACAUUGUACAUAACAAGAUAACUGGCAAAUAAUUAAAAAAUCGGGUUGACAAGUGCUAUCAAAAUGUGAAAUAUGAAUAUUGCUUUGGGAUCAUGUAAUUUACAACCUUAAAAGUGAAGUAUAUUGGUUUUCUAUGACUCAAAAAUUAAUUUUGUUUUUAAUGGCUCAUUUCUCUCAUAAAAAUAAUAAAGGACACAAGUAUUGUAUUCUGUUUACAAGUUUAUGUUGUUUAUUCUUUUUCUAUUUAUCAAGAGUGAAAAUAUUUUUAUGGUGAGAGUAACACAAGUGUGUCUAGACAGAACAAAAUUUUCUGUCAAUAUUCUCAUUCCUCUUAGUUUACCCUUUUAGUAUUGUCCAGAUAAACAUGACAUAUAAGCGAUUGACUUGUAAAAUCCUAGAUGUUUACUGUAUGUUUGUAUCACAAAGAAUGUUCACCUGCAUGUAGAUAUUUAUUCAAAAGUUCUUUUACAAUUAACUCUUUGAAAUUCAAGGAAUCUAUAUAUAAAUUAGCAAUUAAUAGAUGCAUCUUUUCAUCCUUUAAGUUUCUCUGUAUUUUUUAAUUCAUGUGUCCUGUGUUAGGAAAAAAGACCAAAAGAUAUGAGAAAUAGUGGCUUUAUGUUAGCAAGGAAAACAAAGUGAAAGUGAAAAAAAAAGUGAAAAUGAUACAUUUUUUAAUUUGAUAAAAGAUGUGUUUGACUAUAUUUUGGAAAAGCCAUCACUUUCAGUACUUAAUUGCAGUCACCAAUAGAAAGACUCCAGAAGUGACAAUUGUAGUAAAUCUUAGGAAUGUUUAUUUGAUAGAAGUAAGGGUAUAUAAACCUCUACUUCGUAAAAUUUUUUAAAGUUCUGAGAAUUGUUUUAACUGCUGUUAAUUUGGUGAUUAGGCUAUCUUCUUAUUUUAUCUUUUACCUAUAAUACUGCACUUAUUUCAGUAAUGUCUUUCAUUAUAUUAAAAAAAAAAAUAC